rnacentral:rRNA from 1 species
GGAGGUAGUGACAAUAAAUCUCAAUACGAAGCCUUUGGUUUUGUAAUUGAAUUGAGAACAAUGUACAAUCGUUAUCGAUAAACAAUUGGAGGGCAAGUCUGGUGCCAGCAGCCGCGGUAAUUCCAGCUCCAAUAGCGUAUAUUAACGUUGUUGCAGUUAAAAAGCUCGUAGUUGAAGUUUAGAUGGUUUGUUGGGGGUGUAAGUAUCAAUGGUAUUUACGGCUCUCUACGAAUUGUCGACUUCCAGGUAAGCUCAUCUCUCCCUCCGGGGACUCAUGAGCGAGACUGGUCAUUUACUGUGAGAAAAUUAGAGUGUUUAAAGCAGACUUAUUGAAAGUUUGAAUAGAUUAGCAUGGAAUAAUAAGAUUGGCUUUCAUAGUCGAUUUUUUGGUUUGUUUAUGAAAGCAAGAUUAAUAGGGACAGUUGGGGGUAUUCAUAUUCAAUAGCUAGAGGUGAAAUUCUAUGAUUUAUGGAAGAUGAACAAGUGCGAAAGCA